UGGAAGCACUUAUUGCCCCCUUUU
rnacentral:piRNA from 1 species